UGAUACGUAGGGGACAAGCGUUGUCCGGAAUUAUUGGGCGUAAAGCGCGUGUAGGCGGCCAAGUAAGUCUUACGUGAAAUCCUGAGGCUCAACCUCAGGCCUGCGCGGGAUACUGCUUGGCUAGAGUCCGGAAGAGGAGAGUGGAAUUCCUGGUGUAGCGGUGGAAUGCGCAGAUAUCAGGAGGAACAUCCGUGGCGAAGGCGGCUCUCUGGGACGGUACUGACGCUGAGACGCGAAAGCGUGGGGAGCGAACAGGAUUAGAUACCCUGGUAGUCCACGCCGUAAACGAUGGAUGCUAGCCGUUGGUGGGUUUACCCUUCAGUGGCGCAGCUAACGCAUUAAGCAUCCCGCCUGGGGAGUACGGUCGCAAGAUUA
rnacentral:rRNA from 1 species